AUGUAGGGCAGUCUGUCUUUACGUAGGAGUAAAUUACUCUCAAAAAAAAAAAAGAAUCCUAGAUAGUCUUCCCUUAAAGUCAAGUGUCUUGU
rnacentral:pre_miRNA from 1 species